UGGCGGACGGGUGAGUAAUGUCUGGGAAACUGCCCGAUAGAGGGGGAUAACUACUGGAAACGGUAGCUAAUACCGCAUAACGUCGCAAGACCAAAGAGGGGGACCUUAGGGCCUCUUGCCAUCGGAUGUGCCCAGAUGGGAUUAGCUAGUAGGUGGGGUAAUGGCUCACCUAGGCGACGAUCCCUAGCUGGUCUGAGAGGAUGACCAGCCACACUGGAACUGAGACACGGUCCAG
rnacentral:rRNA from 1 species